AGAGACGAAUAGCUGGCUACCGUUACUCUUCAACUAUUAGUAUGCUUGAAACUGGUUUGCUACCAGAGGACUAGCCUCAUUGAACCAUCACCCAUUGCAGCAAAAUGGCAUGUUCAGUUGAGACAUACUAGCACAAACAAGGCACCACCAAGGGCUAACUUCUGCACAACCCAAACAGUUAAAUAAGCCAAUUCAUUCGCAAAAAUCUCCAUUCACAUAGCUACCCGUUACAGCUACAACACCAUUUAUCACCUAAAUGUUCAGAAUACUGCAUUUAAUAUUUUACAGUGAUUUCAAUAUUUUGUUCCCUCAGCACUUCUAAUUCAUGGAAAAGGAUGACUCAAUUGCUUUACAUCUCCAGGCUUUAACAUUGGGUUGAACGGUUGAAGUGCUGGCCUGCUGAGAAUCCCUGGCGGAUGCAAAUGGGUAGAGUAUUUGUGCCAUGAUGAGGAAUAAUGCCCGUAAACUUGCUGAUAGAUGAAGAUGUGAAAUUUCAGUAACAAUCGAGAAUGAGAUAGAGCAACCAUGAACCAGAGUGGAGCUAGCUUAAGCAAAAGCAAAAGCAAAGUAACCAAGUCAAACAAGGUCAGAGUUUGUAUCAUUUAUUGUCAUGGUGUAAGACCAAGUUCCACGAGUUUGACACUUCACUGUAUAUGUGGAAUAUCCAUCCGCAGGAAUCCUUAAUGCUUCUCACGUGAAUAUAGGGUCUGGGAGAGUGUUUGAAUUAAUUAUGAUGCUUUGAUACAUGGGGUUGAAGCUAUUUAGCUACAAGCAGGGGCUAUGUUCAAUAGUUUGUUCCAUGAUGGGGCAAUGUCAUUAGUGCUUGUAAAUUCUGGUGAUCUUUGGAACUUCUUGUGCCAAAGACACUUUUAAUAAAAUAACUUUUU